GUGGGGAAUUUUGGACAAUGGGCGCAAGCCUGAUCCAGCAAUGCCGCGUGCAGGAAGAAGGCCUUCGGGUUGUAAACUGCUUUUGUACGGAACGAAACGGUCCGGGUUAAUACCCUGGGCUAAUGACGGUACCGUAAGAAUAAGCACCGGCUAACUACGUGCCAGCAGCCGCGGUAAUACGUAGGGUGCAAGCGUUAAUCGGAAUUACUGGGCGUAAAGCGUGCGCAGGCGGUUUUGUAAGACAGGCGUGAAAUCCCCGGGCUCAACCUGGGAAUUGCGCUUGUGACUGCAAGGCUGGGGUGCGGCAGAGGGGGAUGGAAUUCCGCGUGUAGCAGUGAAAUGCGUAGAUAUGCGGAGGAACACCGAUGGCGAAGGCAAUCCCCUGGGCCUGCACUGACGCUCAUGCACGAAAGCGUGGGGAGCAAACAGGAUUAGAAACCCUGGUAGUCC
rnacentral:rRNA from 1 species